rnacentral:rRNA from 1 species
GAAUUGCAGAAGUCCGUGAACUUUGCGAAGCGCAUUGGGCUUUUCGGAUUUCCAGAUAGCAGGUAGGGUUCAGUGCUCAGCAUUAUCUACCUGUGCCAGCCAGCAGCAUGUCUACACUGCUGCGUUGCUUUCCAACAAGUCAACGAUGGCGUUUGUGGUAAUAAAUGGCUUGUUUGCUGCCUGCACCAUGCACCAAGCUUUGGAGCGUAGUGUCGUUCCAAGCUUAGAUUGCAUAGUACAGCUCAAGCGCGCAGCUGUUGGGAUGCUGAUGCAUGCCCUUAGCAUGAAGUCAGACAAGAGAACCCGCUGAACUUAAGCAUAUGGAUCCC